rnacentral:misc_RNA from 1 species
ACCAGCUAACCAACCAACCAUUGCCAUGGCUAUGGCCAUCACCACGGCCUUACAGUUACAGUCACUUCCUUCUUCCUUCCCUCUUCUUCGCUCUCCCUUUAUCUCUUUUUCCUUUUCCCUUUCCCUCAUUUGCCCACGCUUCCACUCUCCCAAAACCUCCGUAAAAUCAUCAGUACUUCCCUUGAAGGGAAUUCAGUGCAUCAAGAAUGAAGUGGGAGCUGACCCAAAAAAAGGUGUCAGUGUUUACAAGCCUAAAUCAUACCAAGUCCUUGUUUCUGAUGCCGCAGAUUCUCUAUUUUAUGCCCUUAAUGACGGAAAGACCAGACUCGAAAUUGACUUCCCGCCCUUGCCCACCAGCAUUUCUUCUUAUAAGGGGUCUUCGGAUGAGUUCAGUGAUGCCAAUAUCCAACUUGUACUAGCUGUUGUUAAGAAGCUUCAGGAAAAGAUGGAAACUAGAGCUUGUGUGGUGUUUCCCGACAAACCAGAAAAGCGUAGGGCCAG